rnacentral:lncRNA from 1 species
CUAAUCCAAAAAACCACGUUCAGACUGGCCUCACACAGUCUUCUGUGAGGCCUUGAUCGGGGGAGAUGUCUACACAUUUGAGUUAAGGAACCCAUUCAAAGAGCUCUCUGGACCAAUGGACCUCUAGAGUCAAGGUUCUGAUGCUCAGAAGGGCCAGGCAGGAAGUAACGGCCUUCACACAACAGGCCUGAGUAGGGCCCCGGGUUUGCAGGAAUUGGAUGUAUGUGGAAAACCACUGCAGUGGGCACUUCCUCAGCUGCGGGUACCGCAGCUUCUGCUUGUGGCCACUAGGGGGAGACGCACCUCCGUCCCCCUUUAACGGCCUACUGUUUCAGGGCCACUCCCUGCUGUUAUACUCAGGCCCAGUUCUGCUCUGAGGAGAGGUCACUCUGGAGGAAACCAGGUGCUAUGUCACUCAAGCAUCCCUAUAGAGAUGAAGAAGUGAGCCUUUUGCCAAUAGCCAGCACCAAUUUGCCAGUCAUGUGAGUGAGUCAUCUUAGAAGUGGAUCCCCCACCUAUAGUCAAGCCUGCAGAUGACUGCAGCACUGGCCAAUGUCUUGACUGCAACCUCAUGAGAGAUCCCAAGACAGAACCACCCUGUUAAGUGCCUCCAUAUUACUGACCCAGAGAAACUGAAAGAUAACAAAUGUUUAUUGUUGUUUUAAUCAGCUAGUUUGGGAUAAUUGGUAUUAUUGCACUAGAGAACUGAUAAACUCACUUAAGAACCUAGAUGUAAAAGUUAUAAAU